AUACGUAGGUGACAAGCGUUAUCCGGAUUUACUGGGCGUAAAGGGCGUGUAGGCGGUCUUGCAAGUCAGAAGUGAAAUUCCUGAGCUCAACUCGGGCGCUGCUUCUGAAACUGCAGGACUUGAGUGCUGGAGGGGAUAGCGGAAUUCCUAGGGGAGCGGGAAAAUGCGCAGAUAUUAGGAGGAACACCAGUGGUGAAGGCGGCCUGCUGGACGACAACUGACGCUGAGGCGCGAAAGCGUGGGGAGCAAACAGGAUUAGAUACCCUGGUAGUCCACGCUGUAAACGAUGAAUACUAGGUGUGGGGGGACUGACCCCCUCCGUGCCGCAGUUAACACAAUAAGUAUUCCACCUGGGGAGUACGAUCGCAAGAUUGAAACUCAAAGGAAUUGACGGGG
rnacentral:rRNA from 1 species